rnacentral:tRNA from 1 species
GGUGAAAUUGGCAGACACGCCAGACUUAGGAUCUGGUGCAGCAAUGCGUGAAGGUUCAAGUCCUUUC